rnacentral:rRNA from 1 species
UGAGGAAUAUUGCACAAUGGGGGGAACCCUGAUGCAGCAACGCCGCGUGAGUGAAGAAGGUUUUCGGAUUGUAAAGCUCUGUUAGCAGGGAAGAGGAAGGACGGUACCUGCAGAGAAAGCCACGGCUAACUACGUGCCAGCAGCCGCGGUAAUACGUAGGUGGCAAGCGUUGUUCGGAAUAACUGGGCGUAAAGGAUGCGUAGGCGGUUAUAUAAGUUAUGUUGUUAAAUAUACAGGCUUAACCUGUAGAAAGCGGAUAAAACUGUAUGACUUGAGUGCAGGAGAGGUAAGUGGAAUUUCUAGUGUAGCGGUGAAAUGCGUAGAGAUUAGGAAGAACACCAGUGGCGAAGGCGACUUACUGGACUGUAACUGACGCUGAGGCAUGAGAGCAUGGGGAGCAAACAGG